UUAUAGAUGGAUCCGCGCUGCAUUAGCUAGUUGGUAAGGUAACGGCUUACCAAGGCAACGAUGCAUAGCCGACCUGAGAGGGUGAUCGGCCACACUGGAACUGAGACACGGUCCAGACUCCUACGGGAGGCAGCAGUAGGGAAUCUUCCGCAAUGGGCGAAAGCCUGACGGAGCAACGCCGCGUGAGUGAUGAAGGUCUUCGGAUCGUAAAACUCUGUUAUUAGGGAAGAACAUAUGUGUAAG
rnacentral:rRNA from 1 species